rnacentral:tRNA from 1 species
GGGUCCGUAGCUCAGUGGUAGAGCGCUCGGUUUACAUCCGAGAUGUCGUAGGUUCGACCCCUACCGGGCCCA